rnacentral:misc_RNA from 1 species
UAUGUUGGACUUGCCUGCAUCAAGAAAAGCAUAAAUCCAAAAGAAGAAUAAUAAGAAAAUAAAUUAACUAGUAGCGCAGUCAUCCAAAUGCUAAUAUAGAACAAAAUGACAAUGCAACAAUUAUGUUUACAUAUAUAUUCACAUAAUGUAUUAUUAAGAUUUCUAAGCUUACAAAAUACAUUGACAAAUUGAUUCAAAUAUAAUGCAUACCCUAAAUAGUCAUACUUAUUCUAUUAUUCACCAUCCAAUAUGAUCAGCAAAAAAUAGCAUGCUAGGGACAGCAUUAAAUGCAAAUGCACAUUUAUCUAUAUGUACAGAAUUGACAGGAAAAAAGUGAAUAUUGGUCCGCCCUUGCAGUGGCCAGAGCACAAGUAUCAAAACUGAAAAAAUAACUGAAAUAUAAACAUCAUGGAUGCACCAACAUCAAUAAGUAACUUCUUCCAGUUUCAUGGGAGUUGAAUCAUAUUAUUCUAAGCACCCUGGCAUUCAUCAAGGAAAGCAUGAGAGACGUACAUGGGAGUUUGUGUUCAAUAAUUGAAUCCUGUGUAAACAGUUCAUUACAGCAAAGUUCCAGUAACUUGGUUUCCUUCAUGUUUCACGUAACCUCGAUUAGACGAAUAUUCCUAAUUCAGGAAGCUAAAGUAUUUAACAAUGACAUAAAUAAGAUUCAAAGAGAAUUGCUCAUAUUUUGACAUUUUGAAAUUAGCAGGGCACAAUUCCAGCAUACAAAAUGUUCAAACAGUUUACAAUACUAUUUGCUACAGAAGCAGCAUUGGAUCAGGAAACAAAUCAGUAAAUUCUUUAUUAACUUAAUUAUAGGGAUAGUUAAAUCUUAGGAAACCUUGUAUAUAAAUAUGUAUACUCUCCUAUGAAAUAUAAUCAUCAGUUUUAUACCAUCAAUGUGGUAUCAGAGCAGGUCAAGGCCCAGUUUCAGUUUAAUUUCCCAGUGUUGCCGCUGCAUUUCAGUUUUCGGUUUUAAGUGUCAAUCAGAUGUCCCAGUUGCCACUAGAGGGGGAGUAUUGGAAUAUCACUUAUGGGAAUAAGUCCCACA